rnacentral:rRNA from 1 species
AUGAACGCUAGCGACAGGCCUAACACAUGCAAGUCGAGGGGCAGCGGGGAGGUAGCAAUACCUUUGCCGGCGACCGGCGCACGGGUGAGUAACACGUAUGCAAUCCACCUGUAACAGGGGGAUAACCCGGAGAAAUCCGGACUAAUACCCCAUAAUAUGGGCGCUCCGCAUGGAGGGCUCAUUAAAGAAAGCAAUUUUGGUUACAGACGAGCAUGCGCUCCAUUAGCCAGUUGGCGGGGUAACGGCCCACCAAAGCGACGAUGGAUAGGGGUUCUGAGAGGAAGGUCCCCCACAUUGGAACUGAGACACGGUCCAAACUCCUACGGGAGGCAGCAGUGAGGAAUAUUGGUCAAUGGUCGGCAGACUGAACCAGCCAAGUCGCGUGAGGGAAGACGGCCCUACGGGUUGUAAACCUCUUUUGUCGGAGAGUAAAGUACGCUACGUGUAGCGUAUUGCAAGUAUCCGAAGAAAAAGCAUCGGCUAACUCCGUGCCAGCAGCCGCGGUAAUACGGAGGAUGCGAGCGUUAUCCGGAUUUAUUGGGUUUAAAGGGUGCGUAGGCGGCACGCCAAGUCAGCGGUGAAAUUUCCGGGCUCAACCCGGAGUGUGCCGUUGAAACUGGCGAGCUAGAGUACACAAGAGGCAGGCGGAAUGCGUGGUGUAGCGGUGAAAUGCAUAGAUAUCACGCAGAACCCCGAUUGCGAAGGCAGCCUGCUAGGGUGAAACAGACGCUGAGGCACGAAAGCGUGGGUAUCGAACAGGAUUAGAUACCCUGGUAGUCCACGCAGUAAACGAUGAAUACUAACUGUUUGCGAUACAAUGUAAGCGGUACAGCGAAAGCGUUAAGUAUUCCACCUGGGGAGUACGCCGGCAACGGUGAAACUCAAAGGAAUUGACGGGGGCCCGCACAAGCGGUGGAGCAUGUGGUUUAAUUCGAAGCAACGCGAAGAACCUUACCAGGUCUUGACAUCGAUCUAAAGGCUCCAGAGAUGGAGAGAUAGCUAUAGAGAAGACAGGUGGUGCAUGGUUGUCGUCAGCUCGUGUCGUGAGAUGUUGGGUUAAGUCCCGCAACGAGCGCAACCCCUAUCGACAGUUACUAACGGGUGAAGCCGAGGACUCUGUCGAGACUGCCGGCGCAAGCCGCGAGGAAGGUGGGGAUGACGUCAAAUCAGCACGGCCCUUACGUCCGGGGCGACACACGUGUUACAAUGGCAGGUACAGAAGGCAGCCAGUCAGCAAUGACGCGCGAAUCCCGAAAACCUGUCUCAGUUCGGAUUGGAGUCUGCAACCCGACUCCAUGAAGCUGGAUUCGCUAGUAAUCGCGCAUCAGCCAUGGCGCGGUGAAUACGUUCCCGGGCCUUGUACACACCGCCCGUCAAGCCAUGGAAGCCGGGAGUACCUGAAGCAUGCAACCGCAAGGAGCGUACGAAGGUAAUACCGGUAACUGGGGCU